rnacentral:rRNA from 1 species
AGCAGUCGCCGCGGUAAUACCAGCAGCCCAAGUGGUGGUCGCGAUUAUUGGGCCUAAAGCGCUCGUAGCCGGGCCGGUAAGUCCCUUGUGAAAUCGGACGGCCUAACCGUUCGGCGUGCAAGGGAUACUGUCGGUCUUGAGGCCGGGAGGCGUCCGAGGUACUCCGGGGGUAGCGGUGAAAUGUUCUGAUCCUCGGGGGACCACCGGUGGCGAAGGCGUUCGACGAGAACGGGCCUGACGGUGAGGGGCGAAGGCUAGGGGAGCGAACAGGAUUAGAUACCCCAGUAGUCCCUGUCUCUUAUA